rnacentral:rRNA from 1 species
AGUAGCGGCGAGCGAACGGGGACUAGCCCUUAAGUGGCUUUGAGAUUAGCGGAACGCUCUGGAAAGUGCGGCCAUAGUGGGUGAUAGCCCUGUACGCGAAAAUCUCUUAGUCAUGAAAUCGAGUAGGACGGAGCACGAGAAACUUUGUCUGAAUAUGGGGGGACCAUCCUCCAAGGCUAAAUACUCCUAACUGACCGAUAGUGAACUAGUACCGUGAGGGAAAGGCGAAAAGAACCCCGG